GGUCACGUGGUGUAGUGGCAAGGCGCUAAGACUGCCGCGCUAGAGGUCAGUGGUUCGAUUCCCGCUCGCACCG